GGACCCGCACAAGCGGUGGAUGAUGUGGAUUAAUUCGAUGCAACGCGAAAAACCUUACCUACCCUUGACAUGUCCAGAAGCCUUGAGAGAUUUGGGUGUGCCCGAAAGGGAGCUGGAACACAGGUGCUGCAUGGCUGUCGUCAGCUCGUGUCGUGAGAUGUUGGGUUAAGUCCCGCAACGAGCGCAACCCUUGUCGUUAAUUGCCAUCAUUUAGUUGGGCACUUUAACGAGACUGCCGGUGACAAACCGGAGGAAGGUGGGGAUGACGUCAAGUCCUCAUGGCCCUUAUGGGUAGGGCUUCACACGUCAUACAAUGGUCGGUACAGAGGGUUGCCAAGCCGCGAGGUGGAGCCAAUCCCAGAAAGCCGAUCGUAGUCCGGAUUGCAGGCUGCAACUCGCCUGCAUGAAGUCGGAAUCGCUAGUAAUCGCGGAUCAGCAUGUCGCGGUGAAUACGUUCCCGGGUCUUGUACACACCGCCCGUCACACCAUGGGAGGGGGUUCUGCCAGAAGUGGGUAGCCUAACCGCAAGGAGGGCGCUUACCACGGCAGGGUUCAUGACUGGGGUGAAGUCGUAACAAGGUAGCCGUAGGGGAACCUGCGGCU
rnacentral:rRNA from 1 species